rnacentral:tRNA from 1 species
ACCUGGGUGGCUUGGUGGAUUAAGCAUCUGACUUCAGCUCAGGUCAUGAUCUCACUCCUUGUGAGUUCGAUCCCCACAUCAGGCU